UACGAAGGGGGCUAGCGUUGCUCGGAAUCACUGGGCGUAAAGGGUGCGUAGGCGGGUUUUUAAGUCAGGGGUGAAAUCCUGGAGCUCAACUCCAGAACUGCCUUUGAUACUGAAGAUCUCGAGUCCGGGAGAGGUGAGUGGAACUGCGAGUGUAGAGGUGAAAUUCGUAGAUAUUCGCAAGAACACCAGUGGCGAAGGCGGCUCAGUGGCCCGGUACUGACGCUGAGGCACGAAAGCGUGGGGAGCAAACAGG
rnacentral:rRNA from 1 species